rnacentral:rRNA from 1 species
UUUUAGUCUGUUCGACUAUUAAAAUUUUACAUGAUCUGAGUUCAAACCGGUGUAAGCCAGGUUGGUUUCUAUCUUUAAUUAAUAAAUAUAUUUUAGUACGAAAGGACCAAAUAUUUGAUACACAAUAUUUUAGAUUUUGAGUAAAAUU